rnacentral:snoRNA from 1 species
CCAACGUGGAUACCCCGGGAGGUCACUCUCCCCGGGCUCUGUCCAGGUGGCAUACGGGAGCAUAGGGCUCUGCCCCGUGAUGUAUAAUCCCUUUCCACAACGUUGGAGAAGAAGCUGGGCCUCGUGCCUGCGCCUGCAUAUUCCUACAACUUCUCAGAGUCCUUUGGGCAGUGACUGAGGAGAUAAACCAUGCAGGAAACAGUG